GACGAACGCUGGCGGCGUGCUUAACACAUGCAAGUCGAACGAUGAAGCCUAGCUUGCUAGGUGGAUUAGUGGCGAACGGGUGAGUAAUACGUGAGUAACCUACCUUUAACUCUGGGAUAAGCCUGGGAAACUGGGUCUAAUACCGGAUACGACCAAUCUCCGCAUGGGGGGUGGUGGGAAGCGGUAAGUAGUGGUUAUAGAUGGGCUCACGGCCUAUCAGCUUGUUGGUGAGGUAACGGCUCACCAAGGCGACGACGGGUAGCCGGCCUGAGAGGGUGACCGGCCACACUGGGACUGAGACACGGCCCAGACUCCUACGGGAGGCAGCAGUGGGGAAUAUUGCACAAUGGGCGCAAGCCUGAUGCAGCGACGCCGCGUGAGGGAUGACGGCCUUCGGGUUGUAAACCUCUGUUAGCAGGGAAGAAGAGAAAUUGACGGUACCUGCAGAGAAAGCGCCGGCUAACUACGUG
rnacentral:rRNA from 1 species